GGAUGCGAUCAUACUAGCACUAAUGCACCGGAUCCCAUCAGAACUCCGAAGUUAAGCGUGCUUGGGCGAGAGUAGUACUAGGAUGGGUGACAACCUGGGAAGUCCUCGUGGUUGCAUCCC
rfam:Ipomoea nil DNA, scaffold: scaffold2742, cultivar: Tokyo-kokei standard.